UUGGACACAAUACCAAUAUUUGUAAACACUGGUACUCACAACAAAGGACAGCAACCCUAUCGACUCCACAGCUCACAAACUUACCAUCGCUCUAGAUGCAUUGCCUGUAGCUUCUCCAGGUCCGUUGGUGGGAACAUGGUAGGUCGGAUUUGUGUAUGCCUGCCCUGGGGAACCUCAUGCCAGUCUGCAAACCACUGCCCGUCUCUAGUCAUGACCUGUCCAAAGGGAGGAGCAGCAGCACCUCAGUGAGGAGCACACCGGUGCUCAGGGCAAGGCGGCGGAUACACAUCCACCCCAAGUCCAGGAGCAAUGCCAUCACUCCCACGGACUCGGUUUUCAUUUUGUUUUUAAAACAAAUCUCAGACGAUUUUGUGUGGGGAAGUCAAGGGGAAACUAUUUCUAUUUAUAAACCAAAGUUGAACUGCAAACCACACACAUU
rnacentral:lncRNA from 1 species